GCUGCGGUGUCCGAGUGGUUAUGCUCUCAGCUUGAUAUCACGUAAGGAGUUUGACUUGAAAUCAAAUGGGUUACGCCCGCACAGGUUCGAAUCCUGUCCGCAGCG
rnacentral:tRNA from 2 species